AACUUCUACGUGGACCAGAAUUAUGCUCCAUCUUCAGGACCCAGAUCCAGAAGUUUGCAAUGCCUGUCGAAGCACUUUCCUGCUCUGCACUCCAUUCCUGGGCCUGCAGAAGCUGCAAACACAAGUUGCUCUGAACACUGAGAAGAGUGCAGAAGAGCUCCAGGAAGCUGUCUGCAGUCACCUGGCCAGAGACAUGCCAGAGCUUCUGGAAAGCGUCUAUGACACCCUCCAGACCUACUUCUGGAGCUCGUGUUGGGGGAUGCGGACUGCA